GGAUGCUAGGGUGAUCUGGCUGCAACAUGUCACCCCACCGAUCGCCAGGGUUGAUCUGGCUGAUCUGGCUCGCUAGGCAAGUGUCCCCUUCCUCCCUCAACACUGCAUGUAUGUUGUGUUCCUCCCGAAACUGUGCUGGAUUGACCAGGAUGACUGUCCUGAUAGAGGAGGGACUCUUCCUCUGUCAAGAGUGUAUGAAUAGCUGCGCUCCCCUGCUAGAACCUCCUAACAAGCUUUCAAAAAAAAAGGUUAGGGACAUAGCUCAGUGUUCAACCCCCAGUACCACAAAAACAAAUAAACAAAUGAAAAACAAAAGGGCUGGGGAUAUAGCUCAGUGAGAGAGAUUUUAUCU
rnacentral:snRNA from 1 species